UACGUAGGGGGCAAGCGUUGUUCGGAAUUACUGGGCGUAAAGGGCUCGUAGGCGGCCAACUAAGUCGGACGUGAAAUCCCUCGGCUUAACUGGGGAACUGCGUCCGAUACUGGAUGGCUUGAAUCCGGGAGAGGGAUGCAGAAUUCCAGGUGUAGCGGUGAAAUGCGUAGAUAUCUGGAGGAAUACCGGUGGCGAAGGCGGCAUCCUGGACCGGCAUUGACGCUGAGGAGCGAAAGCCAGGGGAGCAAACGGG
rnacentral:rRNA from 1 species